AUGCAAGUCGAGCGGACAGAUGGGAGCUUGCUCCCUGAUGUUAGCGGCGGACGGGUGAGUAACACGUGGGUAACCUGCCUGUAAGACUGGGAUAACUCCGGGAAACCGGGGCUAAUACCGGAUGCUUGAUUGAACCGCAUGGUUCAAUUAUAAAAGGUGGCUUUUAGCUACCACUUACAGAUGGACCCGCGGCGCAUUAGCUAGUUGGUGAGGUAACGGCUCACCAAGGCGACGAUGCGUAGCCGACCUGAGAGGGUGAUCGGCCACACUGGGACUGAGACACGGCCCAGACUCCUACGGGAGGCAGCAGUAGGGAAUCUUCCGCAAUGGACGAAAGUCUGACGGAGCAGCGCCGCGUGAGUGAUGAAGGUUUUCGGAUCGUAAAACUCUGUUGUUAGGGAAGAACAAGUACCGUUCGAAUAGGGCGGUACCUUGACGGUACCUAACCAGAAAGCCACGGCUAACUACGUGCCAGCAGCCGCGGUAAUACGUAGGUGGCAAGCGUUGUCCGGAAUUAUUGGGCGUAAAGCGCGCGCAGGCGGUUUCUUAAGUCUGAUGUGAAAGCCCCCGGCUCAACCGGGGAGGGUCAUUGGAAACUGGGGAACUUGAGUGCAGAAGAGGUGAGUGGAAUUCCACGUGUAGCGGUGAAAUGCGUAGAGAUGUGGAGGAACACCAGUGGCGAAGGCGACUCUCUGGUCUGUAACUGACGCUGAGGCGCG
rnacentral:rRNA from 1 species